rnacentral:rRNA from 1 species
UCUUGGCCAGCCUUCUGAAAGGAAGAUUAAUACAAGAUGGCAUCAUGAGUCCGCAUGUUCACAUGAUUAAAGGUAUUCCGGUAGACGAUGGGGAUGCGUUCCAUUAGAUAGUAGGCGGGGUAACGGCCCACCUAGUCUUCGAUGGAUAGGGGUUCUGAGAGGAAGGUCCCCCACAUUGGAACUGAGACACGGUCCAAACUCCUACGGGAGGCAGCAGUGAGGAAUAUUGGUCAAUGGGCGAGAGCCUGAACCAGCCAAGUAGCGUGAAGGAUGACUGCCCUAUGGGUUGUAAACUUCUUUUAUAAAGGAAUAAAGUCGGGUAUGCAUACCCGUUUGCAUGUACUUUAUGAAUAAGGAUCGGCUAACUCCGUGCCAGCAGCCGCGGUAAUACGGAGGAUCCGAGCGUUAUCCGGAUUUAUUGGGUUUAAAGGGAGCGUAGAUGGAUGUUUAAGUCAGUUGUGAAAGUUUGCGGCUCAACCGUAAAAUUGCAGUUGAUACUGGAUAUCUUGAGUGCAGUUGAGGCAGGCGGAAUUCGUGGUGUAGCGGUGAAAUGCUUAGAUAUCACGAAGAACUCCGAUUGCGAAGGCAGCCUGCUAAGCUGCAACUGACAUUGAGGCUCGAAAGUGUGGGUAUCAAACAGGAUUAGAUACCCUGGUAGUCCACACGGUAAACGAUGAAUACUCGCUGUUUGCGAUAUACAGCAAGCGGCCAAGCGAAAGCGUUAAGUAUUCCACCUGGGGAGUACGCCGGCAACGGUGAAACUCAAAGGAAUUGACGGGGGCCCGCACAAGCGGAGGAACAUGUGGUUUAAUUCGAUGAUACGCGAGGAGCCUUACCCGGGCUUAAAUUGCAGAUGAAUUACGGUGAAAGCCGUAAGCCGCAAGGCAUCUGUGAAGGUGCUGCAUGGUUGUCGUCAGCUCGUGCCGUGAGGUGUCGGCUUAAGUGCCAUAACGAGCGCAACCCUUGUUGUCAGUUACUAACA